UUACUUCCUCUUUCCAAAGCAUUUGAAAUACAUUAUGCAGGGAAAAAGAAACAAGAAAGAAAAUCAGAUUUCUCUUUUCUAAUCAACAUCCUAACUCUCAGUACGCCCAGCCUGCCUGUUUUUUGUGGCAUGGUAUGCAGUGGUUUUUAAAAAGCACUGGGAGAACUACUCAAUGUUUUUCCCUCUAAGAAAAAUUUGCGACAGCUGUGGAAGCUGGGAUCCCAGGGAGAAUGAGAGUAAAGCCUUGGUCUAGAAAAUUUUCAAAGCCAAAAGGCAGGAAAGAUUGCUUUCUUGUUUUCACUUGCAGUGUUUCUCAUCUCAACAAACCACAAAACAAUAUCCUGGAACCCCAUCUUCAAUAGACCCUUGUCACCUCUUCUCUCCUAUGGAUUUGUUUAGAAUGGCUUUCUACUUCUG
rnacentral:lncRNA from 1 species